CUCGGAAUCACGGGACGUCCCUGGCCUCGCCUCCUCAAGGUCCCGCCCCUCGCGGCCCCUCGCGCCUCGCCAGAGAUUUGGCCCCGCCCUUUGCGGCCCCCUCCUCGACUGCUGGUAUCAGGUAAAUGAAGAGGUGUGGUCUCAAAAUGUGAAUAGAGAAAAAUACAGAAAAUAUUCUGCAGUUGGUUUUCUUUGCACAGCCUUUUAACUACCUGUACGAUCUUGAGCAAAGGAUCACCGUGGACUUCUUCCAAAGGACAAGUCCCCAGCCCUCUGAGUUAGCCUCUUGACCUCCUUUCUUCUGCCCCUCUGAAAAAGACACCUCGAUGAACUCUUGUGAGAGUCUGCAAGUUCCAGCCCAAUUCAAAGGCCUAAUGGGGCCAGACCGCAUUCCAAACAGUGCGCUCCCUGACUCUGCCAUUGUGCCCGAGACGGUGUGUGCAGUGACACGGAGACUCCCUGGCAUUUGGAUAUUGAAAAAGAAAACAUCAAAGUUCCAGGCCAGUGCUAGCCCUGCUACCAACAAAUGGGAACCCCUUGAGGGGAAAUGAGAUCUGGGCUCUGGAGACAAAUUUAUGCUGUCCGUUUGCCGGCUUCCUUCCUUGACGGACAACAACUAGUUGUUCCUGGUCAGAAGCUGUGCCUUGAGCAAACCAUCCAUUACCCAUGAGACUGAACGUUCCACCCCAGACAUUCCCCAACAUCUCAUUCUGGGAAAUCGCUUCACUUCAGUGGCUCCCAAAAUGUUCUGCGCAUACUCAUCCGCAACAAUGGUGACGCACAAAUGUGGAUCCAGGCCAGUGGUUCUUAAACGUUGCUGGGCUUGACAGUCACCUUAACUUGCUAAGAGAGUAAAUCUUAAGAGUUCUUACCCCACCCU